rnacentral:rRNA from 1 species
GCACUUUUAUCAGGAACGAAAAGCGUUGGAUUAAUACUCUGACGUGCUGACGGUACCUGAGGAAUAAGCACCGGCUAACUUCGUGCCAGCAGCCGCGGUAAUACGAAGGGUGCAAGCGUUAAUCGGAAUUACUGGGCGUAAAGCGUGCGUAGAUGGUUCGCUAAGUCGGAUGUGAAAGCCCCGGGCUCAACCUGGGAACUGCAUCCGAUACUGGCGGACUAGAGUGUGAUAGAGGAUGGCGGAAUUCCCGGUGUAGCGGUGAAAUGCGUAGAGAUCGGGAGGAACAUCCGUGGCGAAGGCGGCCAUCUGGAUCAACACUGACGUUGAGGCACGAAAGCGUGGGGAGCAAACAGGAUUAGAUACCCUGGUAGUCCACGCCCUAAACGAUGUCGACUGGAUGUUGGGUGCAACUUGGCACUCAGUAUCGAAGCUAACGCGUUAAGUCGACCGCCUGGGAGUACGCGCGCAAGCGUGAAACUCAAAGGAAUUGACGGGGG